AUCAAGCAGCCAUUUUGUGAUUUUUCCUCAUGGUACCCACUUGCUUUCCAUGGCUCACGAAGACUAGAAGGAAUACUCCGGUUGGAACUUUAUUGAAGCUGAUGUUAAACACAUCCUAAUGAUUGAUUCUGUACUUAGUUUGAAAUGUUUCGUCGACUGGUAAUAUUACUUUUUGAAGUUUUUGUCCGAUAUAACGUUGACCAGAAUUAGCGUUUGGAUAUGUAUACCAAACACUCUUAACAAAAUAUGAUAUUUGAACAUAAAUAACGGACAUUUUUUAACAAAACAAACAUUUAUUAUGGACCUGGAAUUCCUGGAGUGCUUUCUGAUGUAGAUCAUCAAAGGAAUUGAGACUCCGGCAGCUCUGGAGUGAAAGGCGAUUCCGGCAGCACCGGACGGCUCUGGCAGCUCCUGACUGACGGGAGACUCUGGCAGCUCAGGACAGGCGGGAGUCUCUGGCAGCUCAGGACCGGCGGGAGACUCUGGCAGCUCAGGACCGGCGGGAGACUCUGGCAGCUCAGGACCGGCGGGAGACUCUGGCAGCUCAGGACAGGCGGGAGACUCUGGCAGCACAAGACGGACGGGAGAUUCCGGCAGCACCAGACAGGCGGGAGAUUCCGGCAGCUCUGGAGUGAAAGGCGAUUCCGGCAGCACCGGACAGCUCUGGCAGCUCCUGACUGACGGGCGGCUCUGGCAGCUCCUGACUGGCGGGCAGCUCUGACAGCUCCUGACUGGCGGGCGGCUCUGGCAGCUCCUGACUGGCGGGCGGCUCUGGCAGCUCCUGACAGGCGGGAGACUCUGGCAGCUCAGGACAGGCGGGAGACUCUGGCAGCUCAGGACAGGCGGGAGACUCUGGCAGCUCAGGACAGGCGGGAGACUCUGGCAGCUCAGGACCGGCGGGAGACUGUGGCAGCUCAGGACAGGUGGGAGACUCUGGCAGCUCAGGACAGAUGGGAGACUCUGGCAGUGCUGGACAGGCGGGAGCACCUGUAGUGCUUUCGCUGCCUCCAGCUCUGCCCUGGGGAGGCGAUAUUCUCCCAGCUGUACCCAGGGUCCCUUGCCAUCCAAGAUAUCCUCCCAAGUCCAGGAGUCUUGAACCCGCUGCUCCUGAGUACCAUGCUGCUUGGUCCGGUUGUGGUGGGUGAUUCUGUAACGGCCGUUGUUGGUGGUGGAAGAAGAGGAGGACCAAUGCACAGCAUUGAUUUAAUAGAAUAAAUGAACACUCAACAGAAAACAAUAAAGCGACAACGAACGAAACAAAACAGUCCUGCACGGUGAAAAUCAUCACUCCCCAAUCAGUCACCAAUCAUCAAUC
ensembl:lncRNA